AAGACACAACAUGAACUCAGUGACCUACCAGGGAGACUGUGGAAGCUUUCCAAAUGAAUGUGUUUCAAGACUGUGGCCUACUGAACUCCAGGGGAAAAAAAGGACAUAAGAUUACAGCUAUAAAGGCAGGAAGGAUCAGGUGGAAAAUGAAUUUGAAAAAUGGAAAACAAUAUUAAUUUGAAAGCCUAGGGGAAAAAAAAAGACUGAUCGGGGGCUUCAGCCUUAAACUCUGGGCGGCCCCGUCUGGACCGUGCACUGCUCCAAGUGGCUUUUCCACUGCCAGCUAUGUGCAGUGGGUGUAAAUCAUCCCUUUCUAACAACUCAUGAAUUUAAGUAAAAAGGACGAGAACAGUAACUGAAAAUGAGCUUAAGAAAACAGGCCAAAUGCCAUUAAAGUCUCUUGAACUUUUUCCGUG